ensembl:piRNA 21ur-1472 ncRNA
UAAUUUGAAAUCACCAACCAC